CCUGAUGCAGCAACGCCGCGUGAGGGACGACGGCCUCCGGGUUGUAAACCUCUUUUAGCAGGGAAGAAGCGAAAGUGACGGUACCUGCAGAAAAAGCACCGGCUAACUACGUGCCAGCAGCCGCGGUAAUACGUAGGGUGCAAGCGUUGUCCGGAAUUAUUGGGCGUAAAGAGCUCGUAGGCGGUUUGUCGCGUCUGCUGUGAAAUCCCGAGGCUCAACCUCGGGUCUGCAGUGGGUACGGGCAGACUAGAGUGCGGUAGGGGAGAUUGGAAUUCCUGGUGUAGCGGUGGAAUGCGCAGAUAUCAGGAGGAACACCGAUGGCGAAGGCAGAUCUCUGGGCCGCUACUGACGCUGAGGAGCGAAAGGGUGGGGAGCAAACAGGCUUAGAUACCCUGGUAGUCCACCCCGUAAACGUUGGGCGCUAGAUGUGGGGACCAUUCCACGGUUUCCGUGUCGUAGCUAACGCAUUAAGCGCCCCGCCUGGGGAGUACGGCCGCAAGGCUAAAACUCAAAGGAAUUGACGGGGGCCCGCACAAGCGGCGGAGCAUGCGGAUUAAUUCGAUGCAACGCGAAGAACCUUACCAAGGCUUGACAUAUACGAGAACGGGCCAGAAAUGGUCAACUCUUUGGACACUC
rnacentral:rRNA from 1 species